AACGACUCUCGGCAACGGAUAUCUCGGCUCUCGCAUCGAUGAAGAACGUAGCGAAAUGCGAUACUUGGUGUGAAUUGCAGAAUCCCGUGAACCAUCGAGUUUUUGAACGCAAGUUGCGCCCGAAGCCUUCGGCUGAGGGCACGUCUGCCUGGGCGUCACGCAU
rnacentral:rRNA from 1 species